UACGGGGGGGGCAAGCGUUGUUCGGAAUUACUGGGCGUAAAGGGCGCGUAGGCGGCUCGCUAAGUCGGAUGUGAAAACUCUGGGCUCAACCCAGAGACUGCAUUCGAAACUGACGAGCUCGAGUACUGAAGGGAAAAGCGGAAUUCCUAAUGUAGCGGUGAAAUGCGUAGAUAUCAGGAGGAACACCGGUGGCAAAGGCGACUUUCUGGACAGUAACUGACGCUGAGGCGCGAAAGCUAGGGGAGCAAACAGG
rnacentral:rRNA from 1 species